UUGUCCACCCCGCCCAGCGCUGGGGGGAGGGGGACCCAGGAGCACCGCCGGGCACGACACUCAGCGGGCGCUGCCCUCAGAGUGGCCGCCCACUGCCCGGAGCCCAGCGGCAGGAAGUGCGGGUAGCUGCCGGUCGGGUCCCCGGGGAGGCCUGGGCGCAGCGUGCGCGCUCCCCCGCACCGCUGGUGAGCCGCACCGCCCCCGCGGCGCCUCCAUGCGCCCAGGGCCUGCCCGCGAGUCCCUGCCCCCAGAGGGUUCCGCCGGACCUUCCUCGUCCCCGGCCGCGAGCACGUGCGCAGGGAGCGCGCAGAGGUCACGGUCAGUGAGGGGCGCAGGAGAGGAGACGCUGCGCUGCCCGGACCUCCCUUCAACUAGGGCGCUCCCGGCAACUAGACCUGUCCCUUAGGGCACGUCUAGGCCUCCCAAGAACUCCGAACGCGCACUCCUGCUCAGGCUCUGCCCAGUCCCCUCCGGGAGCCCCGAGUCUUCCCUCUGGCUCUCCGCGAACCUCAGAGACGGAGGUUUCCUCCCGACGCUGCCGCGAAGGAAAGUUUGGGCGGUGUUAUCCCGACUGCCUUCCUCGCCAGCGCAGGCAAGCAGCUUAGGAACAGAGCCAACACCCUGGCAUCAUUUUUGACGACUCCCCGGAGCGCUCCUGGUCCCGGUCCCCUUUCCAGGCGGCGCAGAAGUGACAAGCCCGGAGCUGCGGGUGUGGGUGCGGGGACGACCCGCCAAGCAGUAGAGGAAGGCGCUCGGGUUGGCUGAGGCGCCCCGGGGCGGCUCGGACUCCUCCCGGAGACAGCCCGCCCUCCCCGGAGUCGCUAGUCCGAGGCCGGCGCCGCUGCCCGCCGGACCCGCACCCUCGCGCAGAGCACCCGGCUCCGCGCCGCGCCCACUGUGGCGCAGUCUCGCGAACCCCGCUCCAAUUUCUCCCCAGGAGGCGCAGAGGAAGGGGAAUUCGCGCUCUCCCUCCCGACGCCCCGGCUUCUGGGAGCGUCAGAGCAACGGAAAACUAAGAUCACAUUCCACUGGAAUAUAAACUCCCCGAUCGGCUACAUAUUUUUAUAUUUCAAAAGCCCUAGAGCCUGGGGCAUUUCUUGGCACAGAGUCAGUGCUUAACAAAUAUUUGUGGAAUUAAUGAAAUAAAGGUCUCAGAAUCAUCAUCUAA